GACGAACGCUGGCGGCGUGCCUAACACAUGCAAGUCGAACGGAAAGGCCCUGCUUUUGUGGGGUGCUCGAGUGGCGAACGGGUGAGUAACACGUGAGUAACCUGCCCUUGACUUUGGGAUAACUUCAGGAAACUGGAGCUAAUACCGGAUAGGAGCUCCUGCUGCAUGGUGGGGGUUGGAAAGUUUCGGCGGUUGGGGAUGGACUCGCGGCUUAUCAGCUUGUUGGUGGGGUAGUGGCUUACCAAGGCUUUGACGGGUAGCCGGCCUGAGAGGGUGACCGGCCACAUUGGGACUGAGAUACGGCCCAGACUCCUACGGGAGGCAGCAGUGGGGAAUAUUGCACAAUGGGCGGAAGCCUGAUGCAGCAACGCCGCGUGCGGGAUGACGGCCUUCGGGUUGUAAACCGCUUUCGCCUGUGACGAAGCGUGAGUGACGGUAAUGGGUAAAGAAGCACCGGCUAACUACGUG
rnacentral:rRNA from 1 species